UACGAACUGUGCGAACGUUAUUCGGAAUCACUGGGCUUACAGGGUGCGUAGGCGGCUUGUUAAGUAGGGUGUGGAAGCCCCCGGCUCAACCGGGGAAUGGCGCCCUAAACUGGCGAGCUGGAGUGAGAUAGGGGUGUGUGGAACUUCCGGUGGAGCGGUGAAAUGUGUUGAUAUCGGAAGGAACGCCGGUGGCGAAAGCGACACACUGGAUCUUGUCUGACGCUGAGGCACGAAAGCCAGGGGAGCGAACGGG
rnacentral:rRNA from 1 species